UUUUAUUAACUCAAAAAAUAAAAAAAAAUACACGCAAAAUGUGUAACAAUAAAUCCAAAAUGGUAGAAUAGUACAAACCGUACCGUACAAAUAGUCAAAAAUGAUAUAUUGGCCAAUACGGAAUUGACAACAUUGGAUAACUCUAUUAAAGUAACAUUAUAUUUGUAUUGGGGCUGCAGCAAGAUUGGAACUCAAUAACAAUACUAGGGUGAAUUUACCAAAACACCUGUAAUUUAGUGGAUGGAAAAAAAAGCACAAUGUACAAUUAGGAAAUCCUUGCACCAGGCUAACUACAACACAAGAAGAGAUUACAAUUUACAUUUUAACAGAAAAAGUUAGCAAAAAUAGGAAGUGAUAACUGAAAAAUCAUUAGAGGAAGAUGUAGAAAAUACCUAAAACCAAUUCCUUUUUCUUUCACCGAUAAUCCCCACAAUUUGAUGGUAAAUAUUUUACAGAGGCGGUGGCACUGUAUCAACUCCGUCUGUGCUGCAAAAGAAAAGGAGGGAUAAAAUUGAUGAGCUACGGAACAAACUGGGUUAGAAGAAAAUAUAUGUAAAUAAGAAACACGACUAGCCUUGGUCAACAAAAAGACGAGCAUUGGACAGCAGGAACGUACGGGAUACAUGUUGAAAUAAGGA
rnacentral:lncRNA from 1 species